AGCAGCCGCGGUAAUUCCAGCUCCAAUAGCGUAUAUUAAAGUUGUUGCAGUUAAAAAGCUCGUAGUUGAAUUUUGGAUUCUUCCAAUUGGUCCAUCUUUUAGAUGAGUACUGGUUGUGUGGGGUCUAUCCGCCUGGUGAUACGUAAUGUCCUUUAUUGGAUGUUGCGGGUAGUCAGGACCUUUACCUUGAAAAAAUUAGAGUGUUUAAAGCAGGCUUAUGCCGGAAUACAUUAGCAUGGAAUAAUAGAAUAGGACGAAGUUGUUUUAUUUUGUUGGUUUCUAGGACAACCGUAAUGAUUAAUAGGGAUAGUUGGGGGCAUUAGUAUUCAAUUGUCAGAGGUGAAAUUCUUGGAUUUAUUGAAGACUAACUACUGCGAAAGCAUUUGCCAAGGAUGUUUUCAUUAAUCAAGAACGAAAGUUAGGGGAUCGAAGACGAUCAGAUACCGCCGUAGUCUUAACCAUAAACUAUGCCGACUAGGGAUCGGGCGAUGUUGUUUCCAUGACUCGCUCGGCACCUUGU
rnacentral:misc_RNA from 1 species